rnacentral:rRNA from 1 species
GUGGGGAAUCUUGCGCAAUGGGCGAAAGCCUGACGCAGCCAUGCCGCGUGAAUGAUGAAGGUCUUAGGAUUGUAAAAUUCUUUCACCGGGGACGAUAAUGACGGUACCCGGAGAAGAAGCCCCGGCUAACUUUGUGCCAGCAGCCGCGGUAAUACGAAGGGGGCUAGCGUUGCUCGGAAUUACUGGGCGUAAAGGGCGCGUAGGCGGACAGUUUAGUCAGAGGUGAAAGUCCAGGGCUCAACCUUGGAAUUGCCUUUGAUACUGGCUGUCUUGAGUACGGGAGAGGUGAGUGGAACUCCGAGUGUAGAGGUGAAAUUCGUAGAUAUUCGGAAGAACACCAGUGGCGAAGGCGACUCACUGGCCCGUUACUGACGCUGAGGCGCGAAAGCGUGGGGAGCAAACAGGAUUAGAUACCCUUGUAGUCC